CUUUCUCUCUCUAGCUCUCUCGCUUUCUCUCUCUCUCUCUCUCUCCUUCGGCCAUUUUUCAUCUGAUCCUUCCUUUCCUUUCCCUUCCCACCGCUCGCCGGUCCUCCGAUUCCAUCGUCUUCGCUCGCUUCUUCCGCUUCCCUCCCUCUCUUUGCUUCGAUCCUCCUCGCUGUUGCAGCAGUCGCCUCUCGCGCGCGCGCGCGCGCACGCCGGCCGUCCGCCGGCGUUUCCUCGGGGGUCCUUGGCCUUUCGCGCGGCGAAGCUCCGGUUCGGCGAUCGGAGGCGGAAUUCGGCGGCGGCGGCGAUCGGCUUCUCCGUCGAGGUGCGUCCCGAUGGGUCUUUGUUGCGUUGCUUCGGGCCGUUCUUCUGUAUUUUUUUUCUUUCGCGGUACGCUGGGUGUAGACUUUGAUAGAGGAGGCAUGGGAUCAUUACAAGGACCCGUCAUUUGUCCCACCGUUAAUGCGAAGCAAGCCGGUGCCUGCACUGUCCCCGUGACUGCCCCAUUCAUGAAGCCUAAGCUUCUUAGAAGUGAACUUUGGGGAUGCAGGGGAUCUCUUAGAGCUAAAACUAAAGUUGCUACAGUUACCCGCCUUUCAAUCACUCGAAGAUGCCGGGUGCCACGGUGCAGCUUCAGUUCGUCCUCGGACGGUAAUGGAAGCACUGCAGAGAACUUCAAUGAAAAUGAUGAGGACUAUGUCAAUUCCAGUAUAGUUGAAGCUGUUGAGGUGAAGAGUGGGGCAGAAGGUUUCACGAUUAAAAUGAGGGAUGGAAGGCACUUAAGAUGUGUCCACAACAAUCCUCAAGGGGGACAUCUGCCAGAUUAUGCUCCGCAUCCGGCUAUUGUCCUAAAGAUGGAAGAUGGGACCGGUCUUCUCCUCCCUAUAAUCGUUUUGGAGAUGCCAAGUGUCCUUCUCAUGGCUGCUGUGCGGAACAUUCAAAUUGCUAGACCAACUUUAUAUCAAGUGGUUAAGGAAAUGAUUGACAAGAUGGGAUAUGAAGUCAGACUUGUCAGAGUCACUAAGAGAGUUCAUGAGGCAUAUUUUGCUCAGUUAUAUCUUACAAAGACGAGCAACAAAUCAGAAUUUGUCAGCUUUGAUCUCCGACCUUCAGAUGCCAUCAACAUUGCAGUAAGAUGCAAGGUGCCAAUACAAGUGAACAAAUAUUUGGCUUACAGUGAUGGUAUGAAAGUUAUCGAGUCUGGCAAGCUUUCAGCGCAGACCCCUGGUUCGGAUGGGUUGUUGUUCACAGAACUUGAUAGGACUUCAUUGCUUUCAGGCCUAGUGGUCAGCCAUGCAUUGAGACAAAAGAGUUUGAUCUGGUGCGCAACAUGCUCAUAGCUGCUGUAGAGGAGCGCUACAGAGAUGCUGCUCAAUGGAGGGACAAACUAAGCCAGCUGCGAGCUAAAAGGAACUUCACAUGACACGUAAAGAUGCUACGACGAGUCCAAACUGUACAUAAACAUUAUUCGAAUCCGAUGAGGACACCAUUUCGAGUGAUCCGUCGUGUCCGCUCCCCCCUGCCUCCUAUAUGUAUGUAACAAUGUUUGUGAAUAUAUGUGUAUAGAGACUGAACUCCCAACUGUUAAUGCUACGGUAAAUGCGAUAUGGUAAAUGCGAAGUGGUCAAUUGAAGUCGAUAAUUUAUGCUUUGUAAUCCAUUUAUUUGUCUGCAUUUCAAUA